rnacentral:rRNA from 1 species
UACGUAGGGUGCGAGCGUUGUCCGGAAUUACUGGGCGUAAAGGGCUCGUAGGCGGCCAACUAAGUCAGACGUGAAAUCCCUCAGCUUAACUGGGGAACUGCGUCUGAUACUGGAUGGCUUGGAUUCGGGAGAGGAAUGCGGAAUUCCAGGUGUAGCGGUGAAAUGCGUAGAUAUCAGGAGGAACACCGGUGGCGAAGGCGGGUCUCUGGGCAGUAACUGACGCUGAGGAGCGAAAGCGUGGGGAGCGAACAGG